rnacentral:rRNA from 1 species
GACGGGGGGGGCAAGUGUUCUUCGGAAUGACUGGGCGUAAAGGGCACGUAAGCGGUGAAUCGGGUUGAAAGUGAAAGUCGCCAAAAAGUGGCGGAAUGCUCUCGAAACCAAUUCACUUGAGUGAGACAGAGGAGAGUGGAAUUUCGUGUGUAGGGGUGAAAUCCGUAGAUCUACGAAGGAACGCCAAAAGCGAAGGCAGCUCUCUGGGUCCCUACCGACGCUGGGGUGCGAAAGCAUGGGGGAGCGAACAGGG